rnacentral:rRNA from 1 species
GACUCUCGGCAACAGAUAUCUUGGCUCUCGCAUCGAUGAAGAACGUAGCGAAAUACGAUACCUGGUGUGAAUUGCAGAAUCCCGUGAACCAUCGAGUCUUUGAACGCAAGUUGCGCCCGAGGCCACUCGGCCGAGGGCACGCCUGCCUGGGCGUCA